UCCCAUAUGGUCUAGUGGUUAGGAUCCGGAGCUCUCACCGCCGUGGCACGGGUUCGAUUCCCGGUGUGGGAA
rnacentral:tRNA from 1 species